AAGUCGUAACAAGGUAUCUGUAGGUGAACCUGCAGAUGGAUCAUUUCGAUGAAAACCUUUUUUCUUGAGGUGUUGCUCGCACCUGUCUAACUAAAUCGAGCUACCACAUUUUAACACGGUUGCAUCGGUUGGCUGUCAAACAGUGCGCGCGGCGAUUUAUUUCGCCCACCGCGCCUUGCGAGACGGUCGACAAUAGGAUUUGAACGCAGAUGAAACUCGACUGGUAAUGCGGUCGUCUAAAAUCUAAAAACAACUUUUGGCAACGGAUCUCUUGGUUCUCC
rnacentral:misc_RNA from 1 species